rnacentral:rRNA from 1 species
UACGUAGGGACCAAGCGUUGUCCGGAAUCAUUGGGCGUAAAGCGCGCGUAGGUGGCCAUUUAAGUCCGCUGUGAAAGUCAGAGGCUCAACCUUUGAAAGCCGGUGGAUACUGGAUGGCUAGAGUACGGAAGAGGCGAGUGGAAUUCCUGGUGUAGCGGUGAAAUGCGCAGAUAUCAGGAAGAACACCCGUGGCGAAGGCGGUUCUCUGGGACGGUACUGACGCUGAGACGCGAAAGCGUGGGGAGCGAACAGG